rnacentral:rRNA from 1 species
AGAACGAACGCUGGCGGCAUGCCUAAUACAUGCAAGUCGAACGAAGGCUUCGGCCUUAGUGGCGCACGGGUGCGUAACGCGUGGGAAUCUGCCCCCUUGGUUCGGAAUAACAGUUGGAAACGACUGCUAAUACCGGAUGAUGACGAAAGUCCAAAGUAUUUAUCGCCGAAGGGAUGAGCCCGCGUAGGAUUAGCUAGUUGGUGAGGUAAAGGCUACACCAAGGCGACGAUCCUUAGCUGGUCUGAGAGGAUGAUCAGCCACACUGGGACUGAGACCACGGCCCAGACUCCGUACGGAGCAGCAGUAGGAUAUUGGAACAGUGGGCAAAGCUGAUCAGCAAUGCCGAGUGAGUGAUGAAGGUCCGUUAGGGUUAGUAAAGU